rnacentral:rRNA from 1 species
GAUGAACGCUGGCGGCGUGCCUAAUACAUGCAAGUCGAGCGAACAGAUAAGGAGCUUGCUCCUUUGACGUUAGCGGCGGACGGGUGAGUAACACGUGGGUAACCUACCUAUAAGACUGGAAUAACUCCGGGAAACUGGGGCUAAUGCCGGAUAACAUUUAGAACCGCAUGGUUCUAAAGUGAAAGAUGGUUUUGCUAUCACUUAUAGAUGGACCCGCGCCGUAUUAGCUAGUUGGUAAGGUAACGGCUUACCAAGGCAACGAUACGUAGCCGACCUGAGAGGGUGAUCGGCCACACUGGAACUGAGACACGGUCCAGACUCCUACGGGAGGCAGCAGUAGGGAAUCUUCCGCAAUGGGCGAAAGCCUGACGGAGCAACGCCGCGUGAGUGAUGAAGGUCUUCGGAUCGUAAAACUCUGUUAUUAGGGAAGAACAAAUGUGUAAGUAACUGUGCACGUCUUGACGGUACCUAAUCAGAAAGCCACGGCUAACUACGU